UUUAAAGUCUAACCUGCCCAAUGAGGAGUUGAAUGGCCGCGGUAUUUUGACCGUGCAAAGGUAGCAUAAUCAUUAGUUUUUUAAUUGAAAGCUGGAAUGAACGGUUGGACGAGAAAAUAACUGUCUCAAUAUAAUUUUAAUUAGAAUUUUAUUUUUAAGUAAGAAAGCUUAAAUAAUUUUAAAAGACGAGAAGACCCUAUAGAGUUUUAUAGUUUUAGCUGUAUAAAAUUUAUAGAAUUUUUAUAUUUUUUAUAGUUAAAUUUAUUUUAUUGGGGCGAUAGAAAAAUUGAUUAAACUUUUUUUAGAAAUUAAGCAUUGAUUUAUGUUUAAAUGAUCCAUUAUUAAUGAUUAUAAGAUUAAAUUACCUUAGGGAUAACAGCGUAAUUUUUUUUGAGAGUUCUUAUCGAAAAAAGAGUUUGCGACCUCGAUGUUGGAUUAAAAU
rnacentral:rRNA from 1 species